AGAUAUGGGGGUCCAAGGGGGUCCCAGGGGUGAUAUGAGGGUCCCAGGGGGGUCCUAGGAGCAAUAUGAGGGUCCCAAGGGUGAUAUGGGGGUCCCAGGGGGGGAUAUGGUGGUCCCAGGGGUGAUAUGGGGGUCCCAGGGGGGUUCCCAGGGGGUGCUGCUAUGGGGGGGGCAUCAAGGGGGUCCCAGGGGUGAAAUAGUGGGGGUCCCAGGUGAUAUGGGGGGU
rnacentral:lncRNA from 1 species